ensembl:lncRNA
GUUUCUGGUGUCUCCCCCUAACCCCAACACAACCAAACCCCCACCCCCCACCCCGACCCCACCGAAGCCGUCGAUCACUCUUCCUUGUCGCUUGUUGAUAGCAUGUACUGGUUAGAGCUGUUCCUGUUGUGCCGUCCAUCCAAGCCCGAGCCCUCUCUAUAGCCCCUGCACUGUGUACAUUUAAUCUGCAAGGUUAACUGCUAAUUGCUUUUUUUUUUUUUUUGGUGUUAAUAAUGAUGAUGAUGAUGAAGAUGAUGAUCAUUAUGAUGAUAAUAAUAAUGAUGUUAAUUAAGUAUUUGAACUCAAUAUGAUGGUAAUUACAUGUGAGAAAAAAAAUAUUAUAAUAAUCCCAGAGCCAUGUGUGCGAAAAUAUUUUGUACUUUGCUCUGAAAAAAAAAAAAAUUAAUAAUAAUUAUAAGGUUUUUUUUUUUUUUUUUCAAAGUGUUGUGCUCUAUUUUGCCAUGAGAACCUUUUUAAAAAAAAAAACAAAAAAAAAACAAGGUGAUGAGCUGGAGUGCAGCAAAACACUGCUUUGAAUUAGCCCCGACUUUGUUAUGCUAGCAUGCCACGAUGCUAGACUAAUUUAACCAGAUAUUUGACAAACGUAGGGUUUUGCUGUGCAUCCGCACACUCACAAAGAGAGCAAUCAAUGAAAUGUACUAUAAUUUGUACCGUGUGUGUAUUCAACCGUUUCUUUUUAAGGCUCUGUACUGUAUCGAAUGUAUGCUAACCUUUAUGCUGUCCCACCGUUUUUUGCUGUAACAUUGUCAGCCAUCUUGCCGUCACAACCAAAAACUCUCGGCAUAUUCGAAAUCCCGUGUGCUCGCCCCCUUCGUACGUUACUUCCUUCCUCCAGCCGCUUUCGAGAGGGAGCCAAAUUAGUGGGGAAUAGAGACGUAAUUAGCGAGCGGAUCGCUAAGCGAGGGCGCCGUCGCUCUUCUCCUCAUCCCUCCAUCUGCUGAGGAGCAGAGCUCAUAAAUCUAGCUCAAUCCAGGCACUGACAGGGACCCUCUUCAAGGACGACAGUGUCUUGGUGGUGACUAAUUAACCACCACUUAAAGGCGCGUAGAGAAGACGCUGCGACCAUGUGCUCGGCGGCGCAUGGCUUAACAGUGAGCGCUGGUUUCCGCAUCGCGUAUGCCGUAUGCAAGCUCUUACAUUCAUGGACAAAAAGCACGGUUAGGAGCCGAUCAUUCAGUCACGUAAGUGCUGUAUAUAGCAUGUUUUGACAUCGUUGUGUCCCCAUAGCUAAUUUUGUCAAAUCCAGCAAUAACCAAACUAAAACGUAAAUGUAAAGAAGUAUCUAAUUGGCGUAAUCUGUUACGUGUUGACCGGAGUGCCAUGCUAAUCUAAUCCUGAAAGUGUUGUGUGAUAAAUUAAUGUCAUGUGUGUGAUGGAAGGAGCUCUGGAAGCAGAGUUUAAAGGUUGACCCGGCCUACAUGCUUCUCCAUACCCGUUCCAUCUCUCUCUCUCUCUUCCUCUCUCUCUCUCUCUCUCUAUCUACCUAUCCAUCUAUCUAUAUGGAUCUAUCUAUGGUGUACAAAUCCGUACUGUAUAGCCACAAUUGCAACACACACUUGCAUGUUUUUGAGAUCCCAUCCAAAAAUUUUCUCAUUUGGGUUCAAUUUGAAGCACAAAACCGGUCCCAGUGCUAAUUUUUCUCUGUAUCUGUCUGUCCUUGUCCCUCUUUACUUGUUCACGACUGCGCCCGUGUAAAGCUCAAUGAUCCAUGGCAAACCUAUCUGUGCUCAUGUUUUCUCCUGAACAAUAAGUAAACAAACAAACAAACAAAAAAAAAAGAUAUGUCAUGUUUCUCAAUGUGGGUUAUAAAAAAAAAAAAAAAGCAUGUCAGUGUUUUGUUAUGGGUGGAUUUUCCUUUUAAGAAAAAAAAAAAGUAUGAAUAUGAAAAGUGUGUGUGUGUGUGUGUGUGUGUGUGUGUGUGUGGGAAAGGUUGGCUUUAAAAUAUGGAAGAUUGAAGUGUGAUUUGAUAUGAGCUCCCCUGUAGAGAUGAGUGAUUGUGGGUUACCUGGAGGUCUGGUUUGGGAGGUGAAGAGAGGCAUGUGAGGCAGGAAGGGUGAGAUGGGCCAGCGCUGACCAGACACUGAACUCCCUCUGUAUGCAUGCGAUUAACUGGAAGGCAGCAGCUACAUAUCAGCUUGUGGAUCCAUUUUUUAUAAAGGCAGAUUGCGUCUAUUGAUUUUCCUGCCGCUUCGCUCUGCUGCUUAUGUCCACACAUUUAAAAUGCGCUUCAAUUCUAAUGUCCUACUAGUGUCCAAUAAUACUGAUGGAUACUACAUGCGUUAGUAAGAGGCUUCUAAUUCAUCCACAAACGCUGCAAUUAUUUUUCUUUAGCCACAUGGACGCUCACAACAUAUCCAUGAGCUUCCUCAUGUCCAAUCAGGAGGCACUUGACCGUACAGGUGUCCAAUCAGGAGGUGUCUGGAUUUACACGCGUUCAAACAGGAGGCACUUGAGGUUGCACGUGUCCAAUCAAGAGGCACACAAGUGUCCAAUCUUGUCCCACUUUGCCUUAUAUGUGGCCAAUCAAGAGGUAAGUGCGUGCGCUUACAUCAGUCCAAUCAGGAGGAACCUGAGCUUGUACCCAUCCAAUCAGAAGGCACCUGAACAUUCCCUGCAGGACUUUGAAGAAAUGAUAUGUGUCUUAAUUUCUUUGUAGGAUAGUAAAAUAGCUCUGCUGUCACGAUUUUACAUUUCAAUUUAUUGAUUUAACAGCCAUCUUUUCCCAGAGUGGCUUUUUGCACAGACCGAACCAGUUCGUGGAAUGAAACCAAAAUCAGAAACGAAUUAAUGGUAAUUUGCUACGAACAAAAACGCAAAUAUAAACGUAAUCGUCCUUGUUCGGAAGCAUUCGUUUGAAUCUGUUACCAGUUAAUAACUAAAUAAAAAUGAAUUAUUUAAAAUAGUUUAGCCUUAUACGACAACAUUUUUCUACAUCUAUCUACUAUUUUAUCAUAUUAAACCUACAUACCGCCUCUAAAAAAUGAUAGGAAUGGACCAUUUUGUUCUCUGUUGGUUGUAAUGUUAGGGACGUUAUGCGGGGGUUAGAGGACAAUAAGGAAAAGGUUCUAAUACGUUUUUUUUUUUUUAAAAGUUCUGCUCAAUGUAGUUUAGUGUUUCAUGACGCUUUAAGGUAUAAAUCUGAACAACUGAAGGUUAAGAGUAUUGCGUAAGGAUUUAAUGGUGCCUUGCUGAUAGUAAUGGGAAUUCGAACUGACAUCCUUCUGAUCACAGAUACAGCAGUUUAACCCUUACUGAACUGAGUAGAUUCAUUUUAUGUGAAUGCUUUAAACCAAACCUUUAAAUUUGUUUUUAACCAAAUAUAAGGCAUAAUGCUAAUUUAAUUCUAGAUAGAUAGAUAGAUAGAUAGAUAGAUAGAUAGAUAGAUAGAUAGAUAGACAGGCAGAUAGAUAGAUAUAUAGAUAGAUAGAUGGAUAGAUAGAUAGAUAGAUAGAUAGAUAGAUAGAUAGAUAGAUAGAUAGAUAGACAGACAGAUAGAUAGAUAGAUAGAUAGAUAGAUAGAUAGAUAGAUAGAUAGAUAGAUAGAUAGAUAGAUAGAUAGAUAGAAUUAUUACGAAUGAGGUGUUAGGUGUUUUUUUUUUAAUGACUCAAUAAUAUAUAAGUUUCACUUUAAGGAGUUUGUAUGAAAAUCUCAUUUUAUCCGAUCAUCUUAUCAUAAUCUAUGGUCAUUUUGUUGCAUUUUGUAACAUUUGUAAAGUAAUAUUCAGAGGACACUAUAGAAAAUGGCAUAUUUUAAUGGUUUAAAUUCAAUAACUGAACAACAAGACAAUUAUUCAUUUGAGACGUAAUUAGUAAUACUUUGAGAAAUGUCAGCGCUUAUGGAUACUGUGUAUCUUGAAGUAAAGAUGAGAUCUCUGUGAGUUAGAAUUGGACACAACAAAAUAAACAUAAGGGUUUGUUUAUUUGUGUUUUUUGUUGGGGUUUUUUUUUUUUUUUUUUUUAGAAAUAGCAUAAUUCAGUAUCUUUUCAUAGAUAAGAACAGUUAUUGUCACAGACAGAUAAUGCAGAUAGAACAAAGAGAAAAGAUUCUUCUGAAAGAUAAAGAAAUAAAUAAACAAGGAAAGAUUGCUUUGAGAAAUAGAAUAAGGGAAUGGAUGGAUGGAUGGAUAGAUAGACGGACAGACGGACGGACAAACAGACAGACAGACAGACAGACAGACAGACAGAUAGAUAGAUAGAUAGAUAGAUAGAUAGAUAGAUAGAUAGAUAGAUAUCUGCACGAUAUCUAGACGGACAGACAAACAGACAGACAGACAGAUAGAUAGAUAGAUAGAUAGAUAGAUAGAUAGAUAGAUAGAUAGAUAGAUAGAUAGAUAGAUCAUAUUAAAGUAAUAGUUUGGUCAAAAAUGAAAUUUACACAUUAACACAGAUGGAUUCAUUCAGCCGAGACAGUAGGGUAACAAGCUGCAACCUGUUCUUCAGUGAUGUCACACAGACUUAUCCAUGUGGGUUAGGACACAGACGACUGUUAUAAGCUAUACCAGACUUCAUCAACUGGUAGAAUGUCCAGAUACAGCUCCAGCAAAGUAUUUCUGUGGAUCAAACUGAGAACUCCAAAAAAUACUGUAGCAGAGCCAAUCAGUGUACGGAAAAUAACUGGCUAUAGCUCAGUGAAAAACAAUGUUGUGUUGAGGCUUGUUGCAGCCAAUCACAUGCAUUUAUGUAAAUUACUUAGUCGAAGGCUGUUACAAAACAAAACAACAUUUAAAGACGAGAAGAGAAGCAUGCAUUUAUUCUUUUCUCCAAAGUUCAAAACAGACAUCUCAGCUACGGUAUUAGUCAGAUGUGGCGCUAGUCAAAUGUGGAAACGUGAACUGCCAGUAUGAAACAAAACAUAACCCCUCUGAUGUGUUUUGAUUAUAACUAUGAAUUAAUCCUGAAUAAUUAAUCAUUAAAAGGUCACUUUUAUCACCAUUCAGUCAUGUUACUCGUGCGUAAGCAAGGAAAGAAUAAACAAAACUUCACUGUUUACCCAAACACUGUAACAUUACUGUAUGAGAGAUUAAACGUAACAGCAUUAAUGCAUGGAAAGACUUCACGAUGAUACAUUGACACACAGGGUAUACAUAGACAUACUAACGAAGGGCUAACACAAAAUAGGUGAUCACACUUGGGUAACAAACUAAUGAUGGGGCAGGGGGUGGAGUCAGGAAUGGAAUAGAAACCAUCGACAAACAUGAGCACAAGGCAUUUAUGGCAUGGAAUGGAAGCUGUUACAGGUGCUUCUUGGGUCGUAUCUCCGGAAGAUGGAAUUUUACCAGAAAGCUGGGGCAAUUAGUAUGCAGACGACACAUUAGUUAGAGUUUGAAUUUUAACGUACAAACACAAGCGCCGGUAUUUCUGCUACUUUACAAACUUGAAUAUCUUGGCAUCUGUUUUGGAAAAGGAUGUUGGAGGAAAGACUUCCAUCACUUGUAAACAACAUCACCUGUAUAAUUAUUGUAGCUGCACGAAGUAAAGAAGCAAAACGCUGGACGUCAAACACGCCUCGGGUGAAUCAGGGUGUGGGUACAAAUGUGUAAAUUUCAUUUUAUGCUAAACUAUCAAUCUCCAUUUGAUGUUUAAUUAUCCUGCAAAUUAUGAAGCGUUUGUGUGCAUAAGGUUUUGACGCAACAGGUGCUGCUUGUCAGUCGUGUACAGCUGUAUUGAUAGCACGCCGCUGAUUAUCUGAGCAUAAUUCAGUAGGUGUAUUAAAACGAGACGUUCGUAGCCGAGGCCGUGUGUUUUCCUCAAAGCAGGAGGCGUAAGAAGCAACUCCGCUGUGCACAAACAAGCCCGGUACUCUUGGGUAUCGGCGGAGAUUGUCGUACACCCACUGGAAGCUGAAAUUUCUGUCAGUCAAAUGGGUGAACACAAGCUGUGGCAUAGCACUUUGGUAGUGUUUGGAUUGAAAGCGCUUGAUGUAACGUCACAGGUUAAUGGUGACGAGGUCGGUCAGUGAUUCGAGCCUAUCUCCCUCUCUCUGUGCACUUUGCCUCUUCCUCUUCUCCUCCACGCCUCGUCCUCCUCUUCUCCUCUGGAAAUCAGAUGUAAUGCCAUGAGCACCUCCAGCUCUCCAUUCCGGUCCUUCUGUCGUAUUAAUGUGUGUGUUUGGACGUGUGUGUGUGUGUGCAUAUAAUGUACAUGCAUGUGAGGGCGUG